rnacentral:rRNA from 1 species
UACGUGGGGGGCAAGCGUUGUCCGGAUUUAUUGGGCGUAAAGAGCGUGUAGGCGGCCAAGCAGGUCCGCUGUGAAAACUCGAGGCUCAACCUCGAGACGUCGGUGGAAACCGUUUGGCUAGAGUCCGGAAGAGGAGAGUGGAAUUCCCGGUGUAGCGGUGAAAUGCGCAGAUAUCGGGAAGAACACCCGUGGCGAAGGCGGCUCUCUGGGACGGUACUGACGCUGAGACGCGAAAGCGUGGGGGAGCGAACAGG